rnacentral:rRNA from 1 species
UUUACGGAGAGUUUGAUCCUGGCUCAGGACGAACGCUGGCGGCGUGCUUAACACAUGCAAGUCGAACGAUGAAGCCCAGCUUGCUGGGUGGAUUAGUGGCGAACGGGUGAGUAACACGUGAGUAACCUGCCCUUGACUCUGGGAUAAGCGCUGGAAACGGCGUCUAAUACCGGAUACGACCUGCCCCGGCAUCGGGUGCGGGUGGAAAGUUUUUCGGUCAAGGAUGGACUCGCGGCCUAUCAGCUAGUUGGUGAGGUAAUGGCUCACCAAGGCGACGACGGGUAGCCGGCCUGAGAGGGUGACCGGCCACACUGGGACUGAGACACGGCCCAGACUCCUACGGGAGGCAGCAGUGGGGAAUAUUGCACAAUGGGCGAAAGCCUGAUGCAGCAACGCCGCGUGGGGGAUGACGGCCUUCGGGUUGUAAACCUCUUUUAGUAGGGAAGAAGGGCUUCGGCUUGACGGUACCUGCAGAAAAAGCACCGGCUAACUACGUGCCAGCAGCCGCGGUAAUACGUAGGGUGCAAGCGUUGUCCGGAAUUAUUGGGCGUAAAGAGCUCGUAGGCGGUUUGUCGCGUCUGCUGUGAAAACCCGAGGCUCAACCUCGGGCCUGCAGUGGGUACGGGCAGACU